rnacentral:lncRNA from 1 species
AAAACUGUUCACAAGUGGCCAAAUGCCGAGGCUAACAACUAUGUUUCUGUACGGAGAAAAAUGGGAACAGAAAUGAAAGCUAUCAAAUGCCCCGCGAUAAAAAAAUGUACAACAAUUUAAAUAAUAAAACAAGAGGCAUGUCUUAUGUACAAAACAAUAAAAAAAAACUAAUUAUGAUACACAACAUUAAACGACAACUACUGAUCUGCAGGCUGUUUACGAAUACGUAGUGUUGCGGAGUUAAACAACAUUUAUUGUGCAAAAACCUCAGUAACAGCAAGCAGUACACUAUAAAGACAAAAAUUUCAACGCAAUUGGUCAAGGCUUAAUUUAUCAUCUGUACCAAGUCAUUCAUGUAAUGUGUUUG